CUGACAUACUCUGCAUUCACUAUACUGACACACACUCUGCAUCCGCUACACACUAACCCACUCUCUGCAUUCACUACACACUAACCCACUCUCUGCAUUCACUACACUAACACACACACUCUGCAUCCGCUACACACUAACACACUCUGCAUCCGCUACACACUAACACUCUCUGCAUUCACUACACUAACACACACUCUGCAUCCACUACACACUAACACACUCUCUGCAUUCACUAGACAUUAACAC